AGGAAAGUUGCUUUCGACAGUCUGCUCACAUUUUGGGAAUCAGCACACAGAAUCAGAGAGGAUGGAGAUUUUCUAAUGCUGUAGUGAUCAAAUUGUGAUACGCUUCUCAUUUAGAAUGGUUUAAUAUCAAUAAAAGUUUAUCUUUCUAUAUCACUUUUUUUUUUUUUUUUUAAAUAACAGGACUGUGAAAAUUGUCAGCCUCUGCCAUGAACUUGGGCACUGGUGGGGCUGCCAAGACAAGGGCCCCAUCUUGGGAAGAGCUGGAGGUCAGCAACAAAACCCGAGUGACAGAUAUGGACUGAUUAGAAACAUUUAUAGAAAAUCUCAGCCUGACAAGUGGGUGAGAUGACCUUGAAGUAAAAAUGUAGAAACAGCUAUAGUUAAGACCUCUCUAUCCUCCCUCUGACAGCAACUAGUAGAUAAAUGCUUAGGGAAAGUUUAUUAAAAAGGGGAAACUAUACACUGACACUUCACCUAGUAUAUAAUUUCAGGUACUUGCAGCCUAGGGACUUUGUAAUACAAAACUUGUAUCCUUGUGUUUAACAGGUUUUCAUAGAUAAAUAUUUGUCUAAAUAAGUAUUUUGCUAACUGCUCCUGAACCAUUUUCAACCUCCAUCAUUUCUGGCAUCAAUUUCUGACAAGGAGCUCUACUUAUACAAAAACAUUUUUUUCUAGAGAGUUUAAAUUUAUGAAGGCAGAAGAGAACAUGAAUCCAAAACUGAGGAGGAAGAGAACAUUUUUCUCCCAGAUCAUUAUUUUAUUACAGGGCUCAUACACAGGACUGAAGGAAACUGACAAUCCAAGUAAUACAUAUCAGAGAUACUGAUGCUCAAAAAAAAGUUUAAAAACAUGUAUUCUUUGCUUGCUGCAUCUUGAAGUCUAGUAGCAAAACAAUAUAAGAAAUACAGCUUUAUUUUCUUCACACUUGUUAUUUUUAAUCACUAAGAUCUGCUCUUCAAGGCAAACGAAUUUUUAAAGUUUUAAGCAUGUCCUCAUCCCUCUACCUGAAUGAGCUCCUGUGUCAUACAUGCCAUCUAACAAACUUUUUUAUAUAUACACGUUCUGUCCCUAGCUAUAUUAAAGUAUACAAUGAAUAACACAGCGUGAGAGAAAAACCACAGCAUCCUUCAGCAGUAACCUGACAUGGAUGCAAUUAAACGAGUGGACAGCAAGAUUUUUGAGUACUCCAAAUUUCAUCACAUGAAAGUAGAGAGAAAAAAUGAAACUUUAUAUGUACAACUGUUGUCAGUGCCUUCUCUUUUCUAAGAUGGCUGACUCCCUAAGUUCUUAUGCCAACAAUUGUUCUAGAAAAUUAAAAUUGUAGUUUUUUUAACUAUGUCCUGGCAUUUGUGCAACUAAACACACUGAAGACAGAGACACUCUUCUUCAGAGAAUUUUUGGUUUGCCUUUGCUAUUUUCCCCUUAUCAAAUGAACAGCUGGGACAGAAGCCUUAAAGAGACCCAUUUGGAAAUAUGGAUGAUGAGGUUCAGAAGAAAAAUAUAAGUAACUACAAAGACUUUCAAUCAGACUAAACUCUCCUCUUCCCUAACUUCACAUCCUUUGUGGUUCUACCAGAAAAACGGAAGCACCUACUAUUUAGUUGCUGCACAUAUGUGUAACUGUCUAGGUCAGGCAACUGCCAUAAAGUUUCACUAAAUAGACAUUUGUUCCUUUCCAACUGUGGAAUUGACUCUGAGAGAACCUAUACAGUCAGAGUAAACCAUCUAAUAACAUGGUGGUGGCAAGAAGUGGCAGCAUCCUUUCAAAUAAUCAGCCCAGGAACUAGACUGUUCCAAGUGUAAUUUGCCACAAACAAUUCCCUAGAAAGGAAAGGCUAUCUGCUCUGGGUGGGAUCACCUGUAACUU